rnacentral:tRNA from 3 species
GGAAAGGUGGCUGAGUGGUUGAAGGCACUGGUUUCGAAAACCAGCAAGGGUGAAAGCUCUUCGAGAGUUCGAAUCUCUCCCUUUCCG